rnacentral:rRNA from 1 species
GGCUCAUUCAAAUAUCUGCCCUAUCAACUUUCGAUGGUAGGCUAGUGGCCUACCAUGGUUUCAACGGGUAACGAGAAAUUAGGGUUUGAUUUCGGAGAGGGAGCCCGAGCAACGGCUACCACAUCCAAGGAAGGCAGCAGGCGCGCAAAUUACCCAAUGCCGACCGGCGAGGUAGUGACAAUAAAUACUGAUACAGGGCUCUUUUGGGCCUUGUAAUUGGAAUGAGUACAAUUUAAAUCCCUUAACGAGGAACAAUUGGAGGGCAAGUCUGGUGCCAGCAGCCGCGGUAAUUCCAGCUCCAAUAGCGUGUAUUAAAGUUGUUGCAGUUAAAAAGCUCGUAGUUG